rnacentral:rRNA from 1 species
UGCCAGCAGCCGCGGUAAUACAUAGGUCCCAAGCGUUAUCCGGAUUUAUUCGGUUUAAAGGGUCCGUAGGCGGAAAUUUAAGUCAGUGGUGAAAGCCCAUCGCUCAACUAUGGAACUGCCCUUGAUACUGAAUUUCUUGAAUAUGCUUGAAGUGGGCGGAAUAUGUCAUGUAGCGGUGAAAUGCUUAGAUAUGACAUAGAACACCGAUAGCGAAGGCAGCUCACUAAGUCAUCAUUGACGCUGAGGGACGAAAGCGUGGGGAGCGAACAGGAUUAGAUA